CCUACGGGAGGCUGCAGUAGGGAAUUUUCGGCACUGAGCGGAACCCUGCCCGAGCAACGCCGCGUGAACGACGAAUUUAUUCGUAAUGUAACGUUCUUUUAACAGGUAAGCAAAAGAAAUUUGACGUUACCUGAAGAAUAAGCUCCGGCUAACUCCGUGCCAGCAGCCGCUGUAAUACUUAGUGAGCGAACGUUAUCCGUAAUUAUUGUGCGUAAAGGGUGCGUAGAUGGCAUAGUAAGUCUUUUGUAAACAUGCUGGUCUAAACCCAGUAGGGCAAAAGAUACUGCAAAGCUAGAGUAUGAUAGAGGCAAGUGGAACUACAGGUGUAGCGGUAAAAUGCGUAAAUAGAUGUAAGAAAACCAGUGGCGAAGGCGGCUUGCUGGGUCGAUACUGACAUUGAGGCACGAAAGCGUGGGGAGCAAACAGGAUUAGAUACCCUUGUAGUC
rnacentral:rRNA from 1 species